GAUGAAGAACGCAGCGAAAUGCGAUAACUAAUGUGAAUUGCAGAAUUCCGUGAAUCAUCGAGUCUUUGAACGCACAUUGCGCCCCCUGGUAUUCCGGGGGGCAUGCCUGUCCGAGCGUCAUUGCUGCCCAUCAAGCACGGCUUGUGUGUUGGGUCCCGUCCCCCUCUCCCGGGGGACGGACCCGAAAGGCAGCGGCGGCACCGCGUCCGGUCCUCGAGCGUAUGGGGCUUUGUCACCCGCUCUUGUAGGCCCGGCCGGCGCUUGCCGACACCCAACCAUUUUUUUCAGGUUGACCUCGGGUCAGGUAGGGAUACCCGCUGAACUUAAGCAUAUCAAUAAGCGGAGGA
rnacentral:misc_RNA from 1 species